rnacentral:rRNA from 1 species
AAGCCAUGCAUGUCUAGGUAUAAGCAACUAUACCGUGAAACUGCGAAUGGCUCAUUAAAUCAGUUAUCGUUUAUUUCAUAGUACCUUACUACUUGGAUAACCGUGGUAAUUCUAGAGCUAAUACAUGCUAAAAACCUCGACUUCGGGAGGGGUGUAUUUAUUAGAUAAAAGACCAAUGCCCUUCGGGGCUCUUGGUGAUUCAUAAUAACUUAACGGAUCGCAUGGCCUUGCGCCGGCGACGGUUCAUUCAAAUUUCUGCCCUAUCAACUUUCGAUGGUAAGGUAUUGGCUUACCAUGGUUUCAACGGGUAACGGGGAAUUAGGGUUCGAUUCCGGAGAGGGAGCCUGAGAAACGGCUACCACAUCCAAGGAAGGCAGCAGGCGCGCAAAUUACCCAAUCCCGACACGGGGAGGUAGUGACAAUAAAUACUGAUACAGGGCUCUUUUGGGUCUUGUAAUUGGAAUGAGUACAAUUUAAACCCCUUAACGAGGAACAAUUGGAGGGCAAGUCUGGUGCCAGCAGCCGCGGUAAUUCCAGCUCCAAUAGCGUAUAUUAAAGUUGUUGCAGUUAAAAAGCUCGUAGUUGAACCUUGGGCCUGGCUGGCCGGUCCGCCUCACCGCGUGUACUGGUCCGGCCGGGCCUUUCCUUCUGGAGAACCGCAUGCCCUUCACUGGGUGUGUCGGGGAACCAGGACUUUUACUUUGAAAAAAUUAGAGUGUUCAAAGCAGGCCUUUGCUCGAAUACGUUAGCAUGGAAUAAUAGAAUAGGACGUGCGGUCCUAUUUUGUUGGUUUCUAGGACCGCCGUAAUGAUUAAUAGGGAUAGUCGGGGGCAUCAGUAUUCAAUUGUCAGAGGUGAAAUUCUUGGAUUUAUUGAAGACUAACUACUGCGAAAGCAUUUGCCAAGGAUGUUUUCAUUAAUCAGUGAACGAAAGUUAGGGGAUCGAAGACGAUCAGAUACCGUCGUAGUCUUAACCGUAAACUAUGCCGACUAGGGAUCGGGCGAUGUUACUAUUUUGACUCGCUCGGCACCUUACGAGAAAUCAAAGUUUUUGGGUUCUGGGGGGAGUAUGGUCGCAAGGCUGAAACUUAAAGAAAUUGACG